rnacentral:sRNA from 1 species
AUCAUUCCAAUACAGACUGCUGGCGUCGACCUGAUCGCGAAGUCGACUGGAUUGAAUUGGUA